CUUAGUUCCUCAUCUGUACAAUGAGACUAAUAAAGCAGUACCUUAUAUGGCUGUUUAAGUGAUAUUUAUUAUGACUGUGAUUCCCCAGGCUUGCUAGGUACUGUUUCAGCUUCAUCAUGUGUGAAAUGAAAUCUUCAACUAACUGACACUGGACUAACUGCAAAUGCACCGAUUCCUCUAAGGGAAAUUUUCUUUCUGAAAGAAGUUGAAGAAAGCUUUGGUCACAAUAGAGAGGCCAAGUAAAGGAAAUGAUGUUUCCUACAAGUCUCCAAACCAGAUGAUUUUAGUGACCUUGUUCAAGUCCCGAUUAGACAUGACUUUUUGUACAAAAGGAGAAAUCUAAACGGCAUUUCCAAAAUGGCAGAGAGGGGUCAACUUUCCAUACAGAUUGAAGAAUGUGGCAUUAAUUCUUUGGCCAAUGGAAUGAGGUCCAAGGCACAAUGGAGUGAGCAGAGAGCCAGAGAAACAGUUCAAUCCAAACACACCAGUGAAAGAAAUGGGGGAAAGAAAGCACAUCAUUAUCUGCUUUCAGAACUCCAAAAUUCUCAGGUGUAAAGACAAAUGCUAAUGGGAGGCAGAAGAAUAACUUACAAAUAUACAGCUAUACCGACGUCCACAAAUACCUCCUAUAAGCAUGGAACACAUGGAAUAAAUGGAUGAAAAAAACUUGGGGAUACUUGCUCCAACUUCUCCGUGUCAGGAAAAAAAUCAUACCAGUAUAUUUGGAGAGACAACAACUGAGAACCUGAAGAAUUAAAGGAAGACUUGUUUUUAUUAUUAGGGAGAUUCCAGGAGUGCUACAUAAGGAAAAGAGGCACUGAGUUUGACCUCAAAGUUUGAAAAGGAUUCCAAACAUGAUGGUUUAUUCCAGAAUAAGAAGAUUUUGGCUUUGUUAUGCUGUAAUCUAGCUGUGAAUAUGCAAGAGGAAGUGAGCCCAACAUAUUUACUCUACCAUCAUCUUGCCCGGACCCUACUGUCUCUUAUAUUGUGAUGUUAUCAGACAUUGAUAAUCAGUAUCUAUAUCAGGGAUCUGCAAACUCUAGCCUAAAGGUGAAA